ensembl:lincRNA C16C4.19 ncRNA
UACUGCCAGUAUGUAUUAUUAGGCGCCAUGUGUUAGGUGCCCCCUUCGUUAUUGAUUUUUUCUAAAUUUUAUUGGAUUUUACUAGGAUAUUUGAAGAAGAGUACAAUUAACUCUCAAACAUGAUUCGAUCCAUAUUUUGACGCCAAAACCAUAGCCAAUUGGAUUUUCGAUCUUAUAGAAGAAAAGUACAUAGUCAACGACAAAGCUCAUGUGAAGACCAUCAAAACGUUUGGAAUUGAAGAAUAUUCCCUGGAAAAGUGGAUGGAAAUGGCAUUUGACUAUUGAAAACAGAUUUGAUUGUGCAUUAUUGAUAUUUGAUUUGAAAUAAAGUUGGUUAACUUUGAAAUA